rnacentral:rRNA from 1 species
GCAAGUCGAACGGUAACAUUUCUAGCUUGCUAGAAGAUGACGAGUGGCGAACGGGUGAGUAACGCGUAGGAAUAUACCUUUUUGUGGGGGACAACUUUAGGAAACUGAAGCUAAUACCGCAUAAUAUCUUCGGAUAAAAGCUGGGGACCUUCGGGCCUGGUGCAAAGAGAUUAGCCUGCGUCCGAUUAGCUAGUUGGUAGGGUAAAGGCCUACCAAGGCGACGAUCGGUAGCUGUUCUGAGAGGAAGAUC